rnacentral:lncRNA from 1 species
GCAGAUGCCACCUCAGCAUGGCCCUCCCACCGGCCAAGAGCGCCCGCGGGCGGGGACAGGCUUAAAGGGACAGUAUCCUGUUCGGCCUCCCUGCCUUUCAUCCAAAUUCGGAACAUGGUCUAAGAAUGGAGUCCUGUGAGUGCUUUGAGAAGACUCUAAGGAAAGUCUUAUGGCCACAGUUUCUUCAGAAUGCAGAAUUUUUCCUGGACUGUGUUUUGUGUUCCUCAGGGUGUAGCAGAGUGAGUUUACUUCAGAUUAUUCAUUACUGCUUGCUGAUGUUAUUGAAUUAAAUGCUUAAACUAUCCUUUA